GACGUACACAAGGCAAAGGGCGCGUUUUGGCGCUGGUGACCGGGGGUGACCGGGGGUGACCGGGGAUGGCCGGGAAGAUGAAAGAGCACUGAAACUGUCCCAUUUCCUGGCACCUCAACCCUUCAUAAAUACGGGUCCAUAUACAGAGGCUCCAGUUUACACAAGACAAAAAUGGCGUGGAGCCUUCAGAUCAGAUUCCAACCCAGCUAACACCUUGACGACAACCCCCAUGAGAGACUGUGAAUCAAAGUAGCCAGGUAAGCCAUGCCCUUAUUCCUGAGCCACAGAAAGUGUGAGAUUUUUUUUUUUAAGUGUUGUUUCAAGUCACUACCUUUUGGAGUAAUUUCUUAGGUAUUAAUAGACAAUGAAUAUAAGAUGUAAACUUAAGAAGAACUUAUGAGGCCAGGAGUGGGGCACACAUCUGUAAUUACAGUACUUCCAGAGGAGAGUUUGAGCCCAGGAGUUUGAGACCAACCUGAGCAACAUAGUGAGACUCUGUCUCUAUUCUCUACAAAGAACAAAAAAUUAGCUGGGUGUGGUAGUGGAUGCCUGUGGUCUCAGCUAUUCAGGAGGCUAAGGCAGGCAGAUGGUGGUUGAGGCUGCAGUGAGCCAUAAUUGUGCUACUGCACUCCAUCCUGGGGAAGAGGGCGAGUCCCUGUCUCAAAUAAAGAAAAAAAAAAAAGGAAUAAAUGAAAACAUGUUCAUGAUAUAAGUAAAAAGCUUUAAAAAAAAUGACUUCUGCAUGGGAAAAAAUAUUUUGAACAAGCUAAAAGAGAAGUAAGACUCUAGAAAAAUAUUUGCAACAUAUAAAAGAAUCAAUAUCCAGUCAAGAUAAACAAUUAUAAAUCAGUAAGACCACAAAAAAAUUAAAUGAACAAAGACUAAAGACACUUUAUGACAGAAUAAAUAAUCCAAAGAAACAACAAAGAGAUGAGAAGGAUCUGAACCUCACUGGUGAAUGGGAAAAUGCAAAAUAAGGCAAAAUAAUACUGGAUCAUCUAGAUCAUGGAAAAUACACAAUUUGAUAACAUAGUAAGUGUUGGCAAGAUUUGCAGCACUGAAUGUUUUUGUGCAGUGUUUUCCAACACUAACAACCAAUUCUCCAAUUAUCUAAACAUAAACUAGAUGUCCAACAAUUCAAUUCAAUUCUGACACUAUCUUUGUCAGAAUCCACAGAUUUAAGGGUUCAAUCCUACAAGACUGCCUCCUCUUGAGUUCCUCUGCCCGGCCGCCCCACUGUCUGGGAAGUGAGAAGCGCCUCUGCCUAGCCGCCCACCAUCUGGGAAGUGAGGAGCACCUCUGCCCGGCCGCCCCACACCACCGCCGCCAUCUGGGAAGUGAGGAGUGCCUCUGCCUGGCCCCCGCAACGUCUGGGAAGUGAGGAGCGCCUUUGCGCGGCUGCUGUGCGACCCUCCAAGUGUGAAGUGACAGCCUUGUGUGUGAUCUUUCUGCCCUCCCCAAGUUUGCAUUUUCGACAUUAAAGUUUACUUUUCAAUUAAAA